rnacentral:lncRNA from 1 species
CAAAGUCUAGGACCAUCACUUUCUUUUCAUAUUUGGCAGCCUCCUUGGCAGCAGCCAGACCGCCUGAGCCUCCACCGAUGACAAUGAGGUCAUAGUCGUAGGAAUGGGGCACCGCUGUAUGGCCAUUCAUUUCCAGCACUUUCUGAGGCUUGUCUUCUUUAUGGGCCUUUAAAGUUUUCUCAUGACCUUCUAUUUGCUUCUCUUCUACAAAGCCAACUGGCUGUGAAGUCUCUGCGGUUACUUCGCACAGUACUCCUUGCAGCUUCUGAAUGCUCUCUGCCGGGCGCCGUCGCUCCGGGCCUGCCGCACCGCCUGGCUCUUCCGCGGGACGCUGCCCAUGGCGCGGCCCUCCGCGCCCACAGCCCGGGCCCGUCGCCACGGCGAC